GACGAACGCUGGCGGCGUGCUUAACACAUGCAAGUCGAACGGUGAAGGGGCCUGCUUUUGUGGGUCCUGGAUGAGUGGCGAACGGGUGAGUAACACGUGAGUAACCUGCCCCCUUCUUCUGGAUAACCGCAUGAAAGUGUGGCUAAUACGGGAUAUUCUGGGUCUGUCGCAUGGUGGGCCUGGGAAAGAUUGCGCCUUUUUUGGUGUUUUUGGUGGGGGAUGGGCUCGCGGCCUAUCAGCUUGUUGGUGGGGUGAUGGCCUACCAAGGCGGUGACGGGUAGCCGGCCUGAGAGGGUGGACGGUCACACUGGGACUGAGACACGGCCCAGACUCCUACGGGAGGCAGCAGUGGGGAAUAUUGCACAAUGGGCGCAAGCCUGAUGCAGCGACGCCGCGUGAGGGAUGGAGGCCUUCGGGUUGUGAACCUCUUUCGCCAGUGAAGCAGGCCUGCCUCGUUUGUGGGUGGGUAGACGGAGCUGAUAAAAGC
rnacentral:rRNA from 1 species